CAGCAGCCGCGGGAAUACGAAGGGUGCAAGCGUUACUCGGAAUUACUGGGCGUAAAGCGUGCGUAGGUGGUGGUUUAAGUCCGUUGUGAAAGCCCUGGGCUCAACCUGGGAAUUGCAGUGGAUACUGGGUCACUAGAGUGUGGUAGAGGAUAGUGGAAUUUCCGGUGUAGCAGUGAAAUGCGUAGAGAUCGGAAGGAACAUCUGUGGCGAAGGCGACUAUCUGGGCCAACACUGACACUGAGGCACGAAAGCGUGGGGAGCAAACAGGAUUAGAUACCCGCGUAGUCCCUGUCUCUUAUAA
rnacentral:rRNA from 1 species